rnacentral:rRNA from 1 species
AUCUAUAGCCAUACCACCCUGAACAUGCCUGAUCUCAUCUGAUCUCGGAAACUAAGCAGGGUUGGGCCUGGCUAGUACUUGGAUGGGAGACCACCUGGGAAUAUCAGGUGCUGUAGGCU